UGGCGACCGGACGGCCAGUCACAGAAAAUCGAGGAAGAAUAGGUUAAGAAACAAUGUUUACUAGGCUCGCCAAGGAAUACCGAAGCAAUGAAAAGCAAAUGCGGUCCCUAGUCUCAUAGAGUGACAGAUGUAUCUCUCAGUAAACCGGUGUCACUUAAGAGAAAACCAAGCGAACAAGGGGCCACGCACACAGCCGUUGCAGCAUAAAAUAUUUAUGGUUCGGCAACACAAUCGGCCGGGGAGUACAAGUCCGAAACUAAAGGAACCGAGUUUACAAAAGAACGUGUGUUCAAAUUGCAAAAUCGAUAUGAACCUAAUAAACAAGAAUUUUAAUGGUUAAGAAGCACUCGCCAAACAGCAAAAGGUGAAGGAAAUGGACAGUACAAUUAAUUCUACAAGUCUGGUAAGUUAUGAAAAUGCAAGUUUUGACUAUAAUCUGCCUGAAAUCAAGAGCAAAAACCAAUUAUUUCUCACACAUCUCAGCACAUAUCUGCAUUUCCAAGUUAGCUUUCGGGGCAACAAGAGGCAAAAAGCAGAUUCUGACUGGGAUCUUAUCGAAAUCGGCAACUAUUUGACUCAGAAAGGGGGUUUUAUGUCGAUAUCUAAUGGUUCAUUACGGUUUUAGCUGCUAUGAAACAAAUAAACUCAUCAGCAGUGGCCGAACACAAACCCAAAAAUUGUAUUCGUUAAAACUGAAAUUCUUGCAUGUAAUCAGUUCGUCUACCAACGAAAAAUUCGAGAGUCUAUAGAAAUCUAUAAACAACCUAACAAUCUUAACCGCGACUCACGUGUUUACCUGUCACCAACAUGGGAAUCAGUUAUCCGAGACGAUGUUUACGCCCCUCAUUUAGCUCCGCCCCCUCAAACGAUAUAUAAGCAGGUACAGAGGAAAACGCGAGCCAGUUUCAGUUAAGCUCUGAAGAAGCCAACAGGAUGAUUGACGGAACGUUAGCAAGUCGGACUCAGCAAAAAUCGACGGAGGAAUAAUCCAAAAGUUUUAUAAAAAGUAUUGCAGUAGCGUGUGGAAGUUUCUUUGAAAAAUUAGAUGCUUUUUACUGUUUGCUAGUGUUAAACGGUUAAAUCUUAUGCAAAAUUAUUUUUACCACGCACAUAAUAACUUGUGGGUGUAUAAGGAAGAAAUUUGUACCCGAGAACAUAUCCGAAAAAUAAACUUUUUUGAUUUAACGAUUUUUUUCCCAGUAUCGCAAUGCAUUUCGGCUUUUAUGUCUUUUAGGCUUGUAAACCCGUCUCGUUCUUUAAUAAACAUAACAUUCUAAACGCAAAAAAUCACAUUUCCACCGUGCGACGAAUUAAAAUCGUCCAUCACCGUAAUGAAGAUAGAUAUAUUCGGUGCAGGAUAAAUAACGGGGUAGAUUUUUAACAAGUUCGUUGGUUUCACCGCUGCCGCGAUUUGCGGUUAAAGCUGGAUAUAAAUGGGCGGUUCUUUGCGUUAUAUCCCGCCGCCCCGCCCGCUCCCACGGGUGUAAUUACGAUAUAAAUCGAUUCUAACUUCUGUUGACUUUAAGCACGGUUCGCGAACACCAUUAAGCUUAAUGUAUAUAAAAUAGAAGCUUUAAUGAAUUAAAUAUUAUUUUUCUACUCCGUAUCUCCAAUUAAGGGCCGAUCAAGCAAAAUGAGACGUCAACUUAGUCCAAACGCUUUCUCGAGUCACUUCUGUACCUUGUACCUUAGUCACCGAUUUGGCAGCGAUCGGAUGGUGAAUGACAUUCGUGCUGUUUUGCAAAGAUCUAUUAAAAAACUAAUGGUCGUUGAAAAGUAUAGUGUAGAACAUAUUGAUAAACUUCAUCGGACAAUUGUUUAUUAAAAACACGCUCAUUCCAAAACAAACUUGUGACUAAAGCAGCGUUUAACCUACACUAACAUCCAAAAUAUUAACCAGUUUUACGAAUGUCAGCUCGAGUGUCCCAAAAUAACGCUUUAAAACUUUUGUAUCUGUCUCAUAAAUUGCGUGGUGUCUACAUAUUUGUACCUAAGAUCAUUUUGUUACUUUAUUUACUUGCAUAAAAUAUACUAAAUAAUCACUUAGGAAUUCAAAAAAUUUAAUUUAAUUUAUUAUUAUUUUUUAAUUUUAUUUAUCCAAAUAUACUCCUUCAACCAAUAUUUUUUCUUUCUUGAAAUAAGAUUUUAAUGUUUUUUUUUUAUAUUUUUGUGACAACAAGCCUGGCCUACUUUGUACGAACAACACAUUUACUGAAUUAAAAAAGUACAGUUAUAUUUUCCUAAAAUAUGCAGUCAUAAACACUGGUAAGACAAUAAUACACCAUAGGGUAACUCCAGCAAACACUUUGAAAUGGAAGAUUUCUAUUUGACUCUGAAUUCAUUUGCAAGUUGUUCGAUAUAGUCAUUUUUUGAUUGCUAAUUCUGCAAUGUAUUGAGCUAAUCUAUCAAUGUGAUGUAAUCAUGCGCCUUGACGAGUUUUUGCGGGCACCCAUAACAGAUUCACUUCGUUCUGACUUUUUAUCUCGUUUAAUGCGUCAUAACAAUCCAAAACUAACUUGGAUGUUAUCGAGGGGAAUUAGAUGCAACAUUAUUAAAAAACAGACUCAUGCUUUAUGCAAAUUUUCAUGUUAGAAAUUAUGCUUGCAAUGACCCUUUUGAUAGGGCGCUUAAAUUCUUUAAUAGGCACUUUGAUGUAAAUCUUUUUUAAUUUAAGUCCAAGUGAAUUUAAAAUUAUUAUAUAUAAAUAAUUUUAGAAUAAGCAUUACUGCUCAAUAUUCAUUGUUAUUAAUUUAUUUUUUAAUUCUAAAUAAUAAUCAAAAAAUAUACAUUAGUU